rnacentral:rRNA from 1 species
UGAGAGCGGCGGACGGGUGAGUAAUGCCUAGGAAUCUGCCUGGUAGUGGGGGAUAACGUUCGGAAACGGACGCUAAUACCGCAUACGUCCUACGGGAGAAAGCAGGGGACCUUCGGGCCUUGCGCUAUCAGAUGAGCCUAGGUCGGAUUAGCUAGUUGGUGGGGUAAUGGCUCACCAAGGCGACGAUCCGUAACUGGUCUGAGAGGAUGAUCAGUCACACUGGAACUGAGACACGGUCCAGACUCCUACGGGAGGCAGCAGUGGGGAAUAUUGGACAAUGGGCGAAAGCCUGAUCCAGCCAUGCCGCGUGUGUGAAGAAGGUCUUCGGAUUGUAAAGCACUUUAAGUUGGGAGGAAGGGCAGUUGCCUAAUACGUAACUGUUUUGACGUUACCGACAGAAUAAGCACCGGCUAACUCUGUGCCAGCAGCCGCGGUAAUACAGAGGGUGCAAGCGUUAAUCGGAAUUACUGGGCGUAAAGCGCGCGUAGGUGGUUUGUUAAGUUGGAUGUGAAAUCCCCGGGCUCAACCUGGGAACUGCAUUCAAAACUGACUGACUAGAGUAUGGUAGAGGGUGGUGGAAUUUCCUGUGUAGCGGUGAAAUGCGUAGAUAUAGGAAGGAACACCAGUGGCGAAGGCGACCACCUGGACUAAUACUGACACUGAGGUGCGAAAGCGUGGGGAGCAAACAGGAUUAGAUACCCUGGUAGUCCACGCCGUAAACGAUGUCAACUAGCCGUUGGAAGCCUUGAGCUUUUAGUGGCGCAGCUAACGCAUUAAGUGACCGC